CGGUGUUUAACUGGCGUGAUGUGGGACGUCCUACCGGUGGGCUUAGCCUCGCGAGGGGCGGCCCAACUAAUAUCCCGUCGCGGUGCUCUUUACUGAGUGUCGAGUCGGGCCGGUACGUUUACUUUGAACAAAUUAGAGUGCUUAAAGCAGGCUAUCCUCGCCUGAAUACUGCGUGCAUGGAAUAAUGGAAUAGGACCUCGGUUCUAUUUUGUUGGUUUUCGGAACCCCGAGGUAAUGAUUAAUAGGGACAGAUGGGGGCAUUCGUAUUGCGACGUUAGAGGUGAAAUUCUUGGAUCGUCGCAAGACGGACAGAAGCGAAAGCAUUUGCCAAAAAUGUUUUCAGUAAUCAAGAACGAAAGUUAGAGGUUCGAAGGCGAUCAGAUACCGCCCUAGUUCUAACCAUAAACGAUGCCAGCUAGCGAUCCGCCGAAGUUCCUCCGAUGACUCGGCGGGCAGCUUCCGGGAAACCAAAGCUUUUGGGUUCCGGGGGAAGUAUGGUUGCAAAGCUGAAACUUAAAGGAAUUGACGGAAGGGCACCACCAGGAGUGGAGCCUGCGGCUUAAUUUGACUCAACACGGGAAACCUCACCAGGCCCAGACACCGGAAGGAUUGACAGAUUGAUAGCUCUUUCUUGAUUCGGUGGGUGGUGGUGCAUGGCCGUUCUUAGUUGGUGGAGCGAUUUGUCUGGUUAAUUCCGAUAACGAACGAGACUCUAGCCUGCUAAAUAGGCGUACCUUAUGGUAUCGCGAAGGCCCCCGGCUUCGGCCGGUGGGUUUUUACUACCAACGUACAAACAAAUCUUCUUAGAGGGACAGGCGG
rnacentral:rRNA from 1 species